GAUGAACGCUGGCGGCGUGCCUAAUACAUGCAAGUCGAGCGAACAGACGAGGAGCUUGCUCCUCUGACGUUAGCGGCGGACGGGUGAGUAACACGUGGAUAACCUACCUAUAAGACUGGGAUAACUUAGGGAAACCGGAGCUAAUACCGGAUAAUAUAUUGAACCGCAUGGUUCAAUAGUGAAAGACGGCUUUGCUGUCACUUAUAGAUGGAUCCGCGCCGCAUUAGCUAGUUGGUAAGGUAACGGCUUACCAAGGCAACGAUGCGUAGCCGACCUGAGAGGGUGAUCGGCCACACUGGAACUGAGACACGGUCCAGACUCCUACGGGAGGCAGCAGUAGGGAAUCUUCCGCAAUGGGCGAAAGCCUGACGGAGCAACGCCGCGUGAGUGAUGAAGGUCUUCGGAUCGUAAAACUCUGUUAUUAGGGAAGAACAAAUGUGUAAGUAACUACGCACGUCUUGACGGUACCUAAUCAGAAAGCCACGGCUAACUACGUG
rnacentral:rRNA from 1 species